UACGUAGGCAGCAAGCGUUGUUCGGAGUUACUGGGCGUAAAGGGCGCGUAGGCGGCCUUCUAAGUCAGACGUGAAAUCCCCCGGCCUAACCUGGGAACUGCGUCUGAUACUGGGAGGCUUGAGUAUGGGAGAGGGAUGUAGAAUUCCAGGUGUAGCGGUGAAAUGCGUAGAUAUCUGGAGGAAUACCGGUGGCGAAGGCGGCAUCCUGGACCAUAACUGACGCUGAGGCGCGAAAGCUAGGGGAGCAAACGGGG
rnacentral:rRNA from 1 species